AAUAGAUACCCUGGUAGUCCACGCCGUAAACGUUGGGCGCUAGGUGUGGGGGACCUUCCACGUCCUCUGUGCCGCAGCUAACGCAUUAAGCGCCCCGCCUGGGGAGUACGGCCGCAAGGCUAAAACUCAAAGGAAUUGACGGGGGCCCGCACAAGCGGCGGAGCAUGUGGCUUAAUUCGAUGCAACGCGAAGAACCUUACCAAGGCUUGACAUUCACGGAAAUCUCACAGAGAUGUGGGUCCGCAAGGCCGUGAACAGGUGGUGCAUGGUUGUCGUCAGCUCGUGUCGUGAGAUGUUGGGUUAAGUCCCGCAACGAGCGCAACCCUCGUCCUAUGUUGCCAGCACAUCAUGGUGGGGACUCAUAGGAGACUGCCGGGGUCAACUCGGAGGAAGGUGGGGAUGACGUCAAAUCAUCAUGCCCCUUAUGUCUUGGGCUGCACACAUGCUACAAUGGCCGGUACAAAGGGCUGCGAUACCGCGAGGUGGAGCGAAUCCCAAAAAGCCGGUCUCAGUUCGGAUCGGGGUC
rnacentral:rRNA from 1 species